rnacentral:rRNA from 1 species
CAGCCGCCGCGGGAAUACGUAGGUGGCAAGCGUUGUCCGGAAUUAUUGGGCGUAAAGGGCUCGCAGGCGGUUUCUUAAGUCUGAUGUGAAAGCCCCCGGCUCAACCGGGGAGGGUCAUUGGAAACUGGGAAACUUGAGUGCAGAAGAGGAGAGAGGAAUUCCACGUGUAGCGGUGAAAUGCGUAGAGAUGUGGAGGAACACCAGUGGCGAAGGCGACUCUCUGGUCUGUAACUGACGCUGAGGAGCGAAAGCGUGGGGAGCGAACAGGAUUAGAUACCCGCGUAGUCCCUGUCUCUUAUAC